AGCAAACGUCGAGGUAGAGUUGUGUGGAGCAUUUGUAUAAUCUGGGAGUCUUCCCCUUACUUGGCUUACAGAACCUGCUUCUCCUGAUUCUUCCUCUACGACCAUUCUUUUGCUAUUUCUACUUCAUCUGCCUGCUUGUCCCUUCAUGUGGCCGUUUCUUAAACUUUGCCCACAGCCAUAGUUAGGUUUCCAUGAGCCGUGGGCAGCAUGUUGGGUCAAUGAAGAAGGAUAAAGUCCAGGAAAGUGUCCUCCCUUUUGUUGGACAACCAGACAGCAGUGAUCCAUAGGGGUCCCAAGUUAUCUUUUGUCCCCACUCACCAUUUGUUCCCAUCUUGUCCAUGUUAAUAUCUAUUAGGAUAAAAGUGUAAAUAUGUGAUUGUGCUGGAAUAGAUAGUUUCAAGAACAGGGAGGAUCUUUUUUUUUUUUAACUAUAUUAUACCCAGUCAAAAAGGGUAUGAAUUGUGGUAAAUUUUGCCUUGCAUGAAGAGGUGUAAUAAACAGUAUUCCAGUAGUAUUUUACCUUGACACAUAAACUUCUGCAUCUUGAAAUAUAACAGAAUAAAGCUCCUCAGUUCUACCAUUCCAUAUUUGGCUACUGAGUCUAAUAGUAUUUACUUGGCACUAGAGCUCAGCCUAAGACGUAAUCACCUUGAACUCCAGGCAAAGACUUUCGUUAAUAAGGCAUGGAGGCUGCACCCUGGAGCUCAUGGUUUUCCAGUGGCACCACCUGUGGGAUCAGCUCCCAGACGUGCCAGGAGUGUUUGGGACAGAACCACCAAGAAGGUUCAGACGCGCUCUGCUGCCAGCAUCGCCAUCCUCAUGUUCCAUCGUGGUCGGGUUUAUUGUCAUUUGAGGUGUGGAUCUAGCUUAGCCUACAUGCAGCAUCCUUUUCUGUUGCGCUGAAUCCCCCACCUCUUUUUCUGCCGUCAUUUUAUUCCAUCCUAAGACCUUAGUGGUGACUUCCGUGUUUGCUGAACUGAGCUGUUCCUCCCCAGUCACCUCGGUUCCAAGACUCCUGUCUGUGGGUCUGUGUUCGCUCUACAUUCAAAAACGUUCUGCUGGAAAAUGAGCUGUGCUCCUCAGAGUUCAACUAGACAGGCCUCAAAAGCUGCGAUUCUGAGUAGGACCUACUGGAGCCCCAGGUUUAUGGUAUAGUCAGGUGAAGUAAAGCAGCUCACAUGAAAUAAGCAGCUACACCACAUCUGGGAACAUUUUCAGGGUUUUUUGGUUAUAUUUUAUAAAUACCUACCAUGCUCGCUGAAAAUGCCCUAAGUUCAGCUGCAGUAUAAACAAAACUGGGAGAUUGCUUUCUCUGUGUUUUUCAGUUUAUCUUGAUGACAUUUAAGCUCAGGCUUGGAUUUAACUGUUGAUUCCUCCAUAUAAAAUUGGAACAUUUAGUUUCAACUUCCUAGUGUUUCAGUUGCAAUCUUCAAUUCUUUAUGUUUAAAGCGUUAUCGUGGUUUAUGGUUAUUGUUCCCCUUGUUUUUAAGGUUCUUAUUCUGCUAUAUUGGUUUAUACUUCUCUUUGUUCUGAUUAAUGAAAGAGCAAAUCGCCUCCAGUGAUCUUUUAAUUAAGUUGUAUUAACGCUGUAUCCAGUAAUAUCACUUCCUCCAAUGAUCUUUUAAUUAAGUUGUAUUAACGCUGUAUCCAGUAAUAUCACUUCAAAGGGCACUUUGCUGGGGAAGCCUCUUACAAAAAUACUGCAACCAUAUUUGACAUUUGACUAAUAUUCCAAAGUUCAGGAACUGCAGCAUAUAUAUUCUAAAUAAAGCAAAGUGACUCAGGCCUUUCUUUCUUCA
rnacentral:lncRNA from 1 species